rnacentral:lncRNA from 1 species
CUCUCCUGAUCUUCUAAUUUGAAAGUUAGGUUCGCAUCGUUCUCAGUUUAAGAGACCAAUUAUAUGGGGAUAGAAACCAGCACAGGUCAUCAUAAUCUGGGCCCCUCCCGUCCACUCCCACUAUUAAGGUUACUGUUAACAUUAUUAACAGUAAAGCAUUCUUCCUGAUGCAUUAGUGGAAAACAUAUUAUAGAGGAAAGUAGCUUUUCACCCUUAGGGUACUCUUUGAAUCCUUAAGGCCUUAAAAAUAGAUAAUGUUUAAAAUACUCGCAGUUAAAAGAAAAAGAAAAGAAAAGAAAAGAACUCGCAGUUAAAAGGAACCAAAAGGUGGGGUCAAAGAAAAGUUACGAAGUUCUACAGAGAAGUCAGAAGAAAAAUUAUAUUGGUUUGAGAGAGGCAAUAGUUUCCCUGAGAAAAAGUUAUUUGAGAUGGGCUUGGAAAGUGAACUGGAUUUUAUCACAUGGAACUAUGGGAGGAGGGAGGCAGCGUGAGAAAAGAGAGGCACAGGAAUGUCCACUGUAGAAGUUUUAAAAGUUUACAACUUUUUGGAGUUCCAGUCAUGAGAUUGUUUAGGCUAUCUAAUUUUAUUUUUGUAUAUUUUGCCACAUUUUUCAAGUUUCCUACAAAUGAAAGUGUAAUGCUUUGAUAAUCAGAACAAAUAGCCCUUAUAAGCCCUUAAAGGAGUUCCCCAGUGGCCUAGAGGUUAAGGAUCCAGUGAUGUCACUGCUGUGGCUCCAGUAACUGCUGUGGCAUGAUUUGAUCCCUGGUCCAGGAACUACUGCAUGCCACGGGGGAAAAAAGAGAGGAAGGAAGGAAGGGAGCAAGGAAGGAAGGAAGGGGAAGGGAAGGGAGGGAGGGGAGGAAGGAAGGAAGGAAGGAAGGAAGGAAGGAAGGAAGGAAGGAAGGAAGGAAACAGAUACACAUGUAUUAAAAAAAAAAGCCUCUGAUAUGUCAUCUCUUCAAGACUAUAAAUAAAAGUGAAUAAAAAGCAUUAAGAUCA